AACGAACGCUGGCGGCAGGCUUAACACAUGCAAGUCGAACGCACCUUCGGGUGAGUGGCAGACGGGUGAGUAACGCGUGGGAACCUUCCCUGUGGUACGGAAUAGCUCCGGGAAACUGGAAUUAAUGCCGUAUACGCCCUUCGGGGGAAAGAUUUAUCGCCAUAGGAUGGGCCCGCGUCGGAUUAGCUUGUUGGUAGGGUAAUGGCCUACCAAGGCAACGAUCCGUAGCUGGUCUUAGAGGAUGAUCAGCCACACUGGGACUGAGACACGGCCCAGACUCCUACGGGAGGCAGCAGUGGGGAAUAUUGGACAAUGGGCGAAAGCCUGAUCCAGCCAUGCCGCGUGAGUGCGAAGGCCUUAGGGUUGUAAAACUCUUUUGGCGGGGACGAUAAUGACGGUACCCGCAGAAUAAGCCCCGGCUAACUUCGUG
rnacentral:rRNA from 1 species